AGUGAAUUGUUAGUGAGGGAGGCCCUGCUCUCUCGCAUCCCCAGUUGUUUAGUUCAUUUUUCAUGCCAAUCUCCUUUGCAUUAGCGUAGCCUCUCCUGUAGCCUAUCAACUAUGUGUCGGUCUAUCCCUGUUCUCUCCUCUCUGCACAGGCCUUACAAACGCUUCACAUCGCGUGGCCGCUGCCACUCUAACCUGGUGGUCCCAGCGCGCACGACCCACGUGGAGUUCCAGGUCUCAGGCAGCCUCUGGAACUGCCGGUCUGCGGCCAACAAGGCAGAGUUCAUCUCAGCCUAUGCUACCCUCCAGUCCCUCGACUUCUUGGCGCUGACGGAAACAUGGAUUACCACAGAAAACACUGCUACUCCUACUGCUCUCUCCUCGUCUGACCACGUGUUCUCGCACACCCCGAGAGCAUCUGGUCAGCGGGGUGGUGGCACUGGAAUCCUCAUCACUCCCAAGUGGACAUUCUCUCUUUCUCCCCUGACCCAUCUGUCUAUCUCCUCCUUUGAAUUCCAUGCUGUCACAAUCACUAGCCCAUUCAAGCUUAACAUCCUUACCAUUUAUCGCCCUCCAGGUUCCCUUGGAGAGUUCAUCAAUGAGCUUGACGCCUUGAUAAGUUCCUUUCCUGAGGAUGGCUCACCCCUCACAGUUCUGGGUGACUUUAACCUCCCUACAUCUACCUUUGACUCAUUUCACUCUGCCUCCUUCUUUCCACUCCUCUCCUCUUUUGACCUCACCCUCUCACCGUCCCCCCUACUCACAAGGCAGGCAAUAUGCUUGACCUCAUCUUCACUAGAUGCUGUUCUUCUACUAAUCUCACUGCAACUCCCCUCCAAGUCUCUGAUCACUACCUUGUAUCCUUUUCCCUCUCGCUCUCCUCCAACACUACUCACUCUGCCCCUACUCAGAUGGUAUUGCGCCGUCGCAACCUUCGCUCUCUCUCUCUUGCUACUCUCUCCUCUUCCAUCCUAUCAUCUCUUCCCUCUGCUCAAUCCUUCUCCAACCAAUCUCCUGAUUCUGCCUCCUCAACCCUCCUCUCCUCCCUUUCUGCAUCAUUUGACU
rnacentral:lncRNA from 8 species